UGAGCCUGUGGCGUGUCGUCCUGAGGCGAACCCCGGUGCGGCCCCUCAGCGAGGGGAAGGUCUCCACGUACAGGAACGUGUAUGGCGCAGGUCAGACAGUGAGUCCACAAUCUCUGCAAAACACAAGGAUGGCAUUAAUCAAAACAGAAUAUUUGUUGUAGGGUUUUUUUGUUUUUUUUUUUUUUUUCUUCCCCCCCCUGAUGAGACGAUAGCUUUCCCUCACUGAUAACAGCCAGGACAUGGAGUCGCUCUCUCCUCAGACCAGCAUGACUGGGCAGCCAUUAGCUGGGGACAGGCCUGAGCACAAUCCAAAGAGAAGCAGCCGGGCAUAUGGAGAGACGCUUGUAAACAGCCACGAGAAGUUGUCCUUCUGGCUCAGCACCACACAGGCGUGGCUGGGCAUUGGGUUAGAGUAAUAAAGACAAGCUGUAUCCUC